GAAAAGUGCUCUCUGGGGUUAACAAAUUCCUUUCUUGAUUUUUGAUCAGCCCCUCUCUCUCAUCAGCCACCUGUCCCCCUUGUAAGCCCCAUUACGUCAUUUACAAAGUGUGAUUGAUGUCUAAUGUAUGAAAGACGGAGGAAAAAGGAAGCUGAUGUGUGCUCUGUGUGUAGUAUGUGCACUUCACUGUAAAGAUUACUUUAGCAACUGGCUGGUCUCUCGUGUCCCAAAUUAAAGUUUGUGCUGUGUAAUGGGUUGAUAGUUCCCUCCUAAAGCAAAAACAGAUGAGCUCUUUCGGUGAGGAAACAGGAUUUUUUUUUUUUUUUUUUUUUAGGCAAAUGAACACUAAUUAGAGUAUCCUGACCUGAGUCAAAAGCUUUGCUUUCUGACUUACAGUCUCUUGCAUCUUUCCUUCCAGUUAUUAGUACCCAGGCACCCAAGACUGAUUGAUGGUCGCACACCGUGGGAGACUUGAAAGGCGGCUGUUGAUAAAUUUUUCAUCCUUUUUUUUGUCUGUGAACAGACAGGAUGCCAGUGGGUGGGACAAUACCAAAUUGUGAGAAUUGGGUUGAAAAUACAGAAGUCAAGACAUUGGAAUGCCCCACUGGCUGUUUGGAUUGAGAGCGGCAUGCACACUGGAAGAGGUAGAGUCUGUGGUGCAGAAAUCAUUCCCAAGUGUCUAAAGGACCCUCCAUGUUUGCCGCUGCGGUCAGUCUUGGGAACUGGGUGCUUUGAAUCGGUUCCUUUUUCUCCAGUGUCCCGGGCGUUUGGAUAGCGAAGAGCCAUAGUCACCUGUCACUGGGAAGACCCAUACCCUUCGAGAAGGAUGGCUGCGUUAUUGUGUCUGGAUUAGGAUACUUUUGGUCAAGUAUCAAAGAGAGUUGUUGCCCCUCAGAGGUUUCCCCAUCACUAACCCCAGCUUACCUUCAUCCUAUUUGAGCUUCUCUGGUGAGAUUGGGGAUAUGGCAGAUUACUCGAAAAUGAUUUUAUAGGUGAUGGAGAUGCUCAAAAAGGGAGGGAAGCUGGGGCUUUGUUUAAUGUCAAAAGGAAAUCGGAUGGUUUCAGUCGAGUCAAGAGCCUGCCUGUAUGGGUCUGAAAAGAGAGCAGUGGCUUGUUUCUGUGUCUCUGGCUCCCGUGAACGAGCACAGCCUCUCCAUCUGCCUUACCAUGUAGGGAGCCAGGGAGCCAGAAACAGGGUCUCCAUCACACCCCGAGUAGGCUCUGUGACUCUGGCUGCAUUGGAAAAUACACAUGAUCACUCACUUGAGUUAAGUUGGAAAGAAAUAAAUGGUGUAGUGUAAUGUCUGUGUUUACUUCUCAAAUUGUAUUGCUAGAUAUGUGGCCUCAAAAAACCAGGUGAAUUAUCUUCCAGAAUAUGAGGGGUUGGGAGUAGGGGUGAGGGUUGUUUUGGGUUUUUGUUUCCUCUGCAGUACUUGUUUUGGCCAUACGGGGCGAUAAAGUACUUUCUUCUUAGCUUUUAAGUCUCUUCUGGGCUACCUCUUGGCUCACUGAUUGGAUUUGACUAAAACAUUUUCACGAUCACUAAGUUGAGCAGUUACUCAGGCCUGGUGAUGUGAGCAGAGAUGGGGUCCUGUGUCUGAGGUCCAUGUGGCUCGUCAGGCAUCAUAACCAGCAAGCCUUUGUUAAUAUUGGUUCCAUGAAACCGAAAGCUAGCCCUUAUCAUAAAGGCUCCAUUGUUUACUAAACGCAGAACUAAAGGUGACCCUCCUCCCUGUUUCCACCCUCCCAUUGCAGCCCAGUCUGCCCUAUCACAUCUGUGACAGCAGUGGGGACCUCUCAUGUGUAAGCACACGCUCUCUCACUUUUUCUGCUCCAGGUGGGUAGGAAGGUCUCCCAGAGCAGGCCUGGCCCUCUCUCUGCACAGGUUCCUUGUCUUUGGGCUCCUGGCCCUCUUCAGCUCUCGGGGAAUAUUGAAUGCGUCCUUUGCAGUGUCUCCAGAGGAACAGUUGGCUAUCCACUCAGGAAAGCACAGGCCUGAGGCUGUUUACCUUGCAGGGUCAGGAAGCAUUUUCCUGUGGAAGGGCCUCCUGCUGAUUUUCUCCUGGUCCUUUCCCCCAGCAAGAGUCUGUGCAGUGCCAGUCGGGGGGUCCUUGUAAUUCCAGCCCAGGCAGAAGUGGAAGGGAAGCAGUGACCAGGGUAGAUAGCAGGUGUCCGGGUGUCCCCACAGUCCUGAGGUCACUUGCACUUUCUCAUUUCUUAAAGGAAGUCCAGUGUUCUUGCCAGGAAUCCUUAGCCUUAGGUUUACAAAGCUUGCUGUUGAAUGUUCGUCCGGAGGAGUGUAAGAAGGCAGGAACUGCUUGGUUCCAGUCCUGCCUGCAAGGUCAAGAAGGUUUAAGACUACGUCUAAUCUGGAAUCCUUACCUCUGUAGAGGGCGUUGAAGGUCAAGCUGGGACGGUGAGGGGUGCUGUAAAGAAGGUCAUUGGGCCUUCAGUUGUGGGUGGGGGUGAGUGGUGGGCAGGACAGAGUCUUACUAGGAUGGGAAGGAGGGAGAGGAGGGCUUGGCCCAGGGAGCUGGCCGCAUGGUGGGUGGAGCCAGGUGGGCUCUGAACUGGUCCAGAUGCCUGGCUUCCCUUAGCCAUCUUUUCCCUAGCAUCCUGUCAGACCCCCGGCGUGAUGAUAUGCUUCCCUGUGUUAACUCUACCAAUAUUAUUUUUUUAGCAAUGGAAAUGCACUUUUUUUUAAUUUCAACUCAAUCAUGAUUUUAAGUAUAAAAAUUUAUAGAUUGUUAAAACUACUUUUUUGUGUAUUUUUAACCACUCAAUGUAGCAUUGUAUAUUUUAUUCUUAUUGAGACUCUGGUACAAGGUGUGCCAUUUAAUGAUUUUUUCCCCCCAACAUGCUGGGCCUUUGGAUGUGUACGGUAACCAACUUCAUGCUAAUGUUC
rnacentral:lncRNA from 1 species